UACGUAGGGGGCUAGCGUUGUCCGGAAUCAUUGGGCGUAAAGCGCGUGUAGGCGGCCCGGUAAGUCCGCUGUGAAAGUCGGGGGCUCAACCCUCGGAUGCCGGUGGAUACUGUCGGGCUUGAGUACGGAAGAGGCGAAGUGGAAUUCCUGGUGUAGCGGUGAAAUGCGCAGAUAUCAGGAGGAACACCAAUUGCGAAGGCAGCUCGCUGGGACGUGACUGACGCUGAGACGCGAAAGCGUGGGGAGCAAACAGG
rnacentral:rRNA from 1 species